rnacentral:rRNA from 1 species
GUGCCAGCAGCCGCGGUAAGACAGAGGGUGCAAACGUUGUUCGGAAUUACUGGGCAUAAAGAGCACGUAGGUGGUUCGCUAAGUCACGUGUGAAAUCCCCCGGCUUAACCGGGGAAUUGCGCGUGAUACUGGCGAACUCGAGGCGGGUAGGGGUGAGCGGAACUCCAGGUGGAGCGGUGAAAUGCGUAGAUAUCUGGAGGAACACCGGUGGCGAAAGCGGCUCACUGGACCCGAUCUGACACUGAGGUGCGAAAGCUAGGGUAGCAAACGGGAUUAGAAACCCCCGUAGUCC